rnacentral:rRNA from 1 species
CAGUCGCCGCGGGAACACAGAGGGUGCAAGCGUUAAUCGGAUUUACUGGGCGUAAAGGGCGCGUAGGUGGUUUGGCAAGUCUUGUGUGAAAUCUUCGGGCUUAACCCGAAGCCUGCACGAGAAACUACCGGGCUUGAGUAUUGGAGAGGUGAGUGGAAUUUCCGGUGUAGGGGUGAAACGCGUAGAUAUCGGAAGGAACACCUGUGGCGAAAGCGGCUCACUGGACAAUAACUGACGCUGAUGCACGAAAGCUAGGGGAGCAAACAGGAUUAGAUACCCCGGUAGUCCCUGUCUCUUAUAC